ACUCCUACGGGAGGCAGCAGUGGGGAAUAUUGCACAAUGGGCGAAAGCCUGAUGCAGCAACGCCGCGUGAGUGAUGAAGGCCUUCGGGUUGUAAAGCUCUGUCUUUGGGGACGAUAAUGACGGUACCCAAGGAGGAAGCCACGGCUAACUACGUGCCAGCAGCCGCGGUAAUACGUAGGUGGCAAGCGUUGUCCGGAUUUACUGGGCGUAAAGGAUGCGUAGGUGGAUAUGCAAGUCAGAUGUGAAAUACCCGGGCUUAACUCGGGUGCUGCAUUUGAAACUAUAUAUCUAGAGUGC
rnacentral:rRNA from 1 species